rnacentral:lncRNA from 1 species
GGACGCGUUGUGUCGAAUAAAUAUUGGUUCAAUAAUAUCUCAGAUACCGGAGCUUGUGAGUUCAUUACAGACUUAAUUACAAAGUAACAAGCCGAGAUGGUCCAUGGAGCAACUGCCAGUCCCAGACUCAGAGACCUCUGUAUAUACAGCUUCAGUCUGGCAUAACAUACAUAGUCACUCCUCUUUAUCUAAAUGAUCCACACCGUUUAGUAUUCAGACCUUUUGCACAAUGUAGCAACGCCCACUUCCGCUCAACUUCCUACCACCCGAUAUAUAGCUUCCUCUCCCGAUCGCGUCCUGUCAGCCUGUUUGUAGCCAUACUAGCCUCGUUUUAUCUUUAUCUCAGUAUAUUAAUAUAAUCAUAUUUCUAUAGUGUUUUUUAAUCAUUCUUGUUGAAAAUUCUGCUUAUCCGUUCAGUUAGUGAUUUUUGUAAUUCGAUUAUUGUGUCAAGGCGCUUGCAAGAGCUGCCAAAGAUAACAGUGACGGAUGUACAUCGUCUGGCCAAGACAAGUAGCAAAGCACCGACCUCCAAGUUGGAAAAAGGAUUCAAACUUUGUAUUCAGUUACCUUUUCAACUAUGAAGGUAACUUAAGUAUAGCCAAGUUGCCUAUCAGACCAGACAAGGACGUUUACUGAAAGCUGUAACGUAGUUUAAGACAUGCCUUUUACAGUAGAUAGCUAACAUUAUGAUUGCUCAUUAUUUUUAUUCCAAACCGUUUCGAACAGGGACAAAGUGACGAGAGGUCAGCGUAAGGGCUUGCUGCUACAGGUCCAUGAGGAAAAAUGAGAAACCACACAGUUUGAGUAUAGUGUGAAAAGUCAGCUGUUUGUGACACACUAUAUGCCGGUUACACAGUCAGAGAUGAAGCCUAGUCUUAGACUAAGAAGUUUCUGUCAAUGGAGAUCUGCAUUAAGAGGCAUUGCUUUGUCUAGGACUAGGCUUAACCCAUGUCUAUGAAACCGUUCUUAGUGUAGUAAUUGUUCAGUUGUCUUUGUCGUUGAAAUAUUCAGUCAAUAAUAUUUCUCAAAUAUCGGAGCCUGUGAGUUAAAAUAGACUUUAUUACAAAGUAAUAAAAGCCGAGCUGGUUCAUGAAGAAACUGCCUUCCCAGCCUUGGCACACACUUGUUAUACAGUUUUCAUCCUUACGUCACACACAUAGUAACUCCUCUUUAUGUUAAUGAUUCAUCCACUCUGGCAUGUAGCCACCAUUAUCUUUUUGCCUUGCACUAAUUUUAGCUUGACUUCACAUUAGGGCAUAGAUUCCAUUGCUGGUGUAACCAUAGCAACAGUAAAUAUUAGGCCAUAACAAUAGUACAAAAAUAAACAGACAUGCAGACUCCCAAGACAGGUGCAUGUCUAAUGGUGCCUAAUGACCUAGACACACAUAUAGAGUGCACUUAUUCUGCUUACUACUCUAAGAUGUCACACAUGGACUGGAAAGUUUCCAAUAUCUUCCUUGCUGUUGAUGUAAGCUCUGUUAUGUUGGACGCAUAAGAUCAAAUUUAAACAAGGGCAUAUACCCUUAAUAGAAAAGUUUAAACCUGUAUUGCUGUAAUUAAUUUAGUGGCUGUUGCAUGUUGCGCCAGUCACUUCUGUUUGCUGGUCGUGACUCAUGUUGAGGGAUUUUAUAGUCUAAUCAUUUUCUUUUUAUAUCCCCACAUAUGUUGUACUGAAGCCCUCUGAGCCAGUAACAAUGACACAACAUCACUGUUCAUGUGUUGCUGGCACUGCAUUAUGCAACCACACAGUUGCAUUACUAUUCCAGUCUGCACACUAUUCCCAAAUGGGAACACUAGUCGUCCCACCUGUGCACAGCUGCACAGAGGCCGAGCAGCAGUGGUAUAAGCCAAGGACUAUGGUGUCUCCGGAAGGUGGUGAUUGACUCCGCUGUCCUGGCGUCGUGAGGGAGCUUGUUCCACCAUUGGGGUGCCAGAGCAGCGAACAGUUUUGACUGGGCUGAGCGGGAACUGUGCUUCCUCAGAGGGUCUGCAACCUGGGCCCAUAGACAAAAUGACCAUCACCGAGCCCACCAAAAAUCGCAUGGCAGAAGGAGGGAUUAGGUGGUUUCAAGUACAUUGUUUAGAUUGGGAAACCACAGCGGCUGCUUUGCAGAAGUACACUCUACAGUGCCCUUCUUGGAACGCUCCCUGACCUCUCAGUUCUCCAGAUAGAAGAGGCAUACAAAAGCUUUGACCCUCUAUCCAAGCCAUUGAUCUGCAGCAUGGGGAUGUCUGCUGAAAAGCUUUUAGUCGACUCCCACUUUGGAAAGGUACAGGUGGGGAGCCUUCUGUCUUACCAGCAGCCUCCAAUCACAACGUGACACAUAGUUCACCAUAAGGAGACACCACCAUUCCCUUCACUGCCCGGAGAGCAACUUUCAAGGCUGCACAUUUAUGCUCAGUGAAGAACACCAGCUUCACAUAGUCUCUUCAGGUGAGAGAAUGCAUAGAGUCCCAGUGGUGUUCUCACUAAUUAGAGAGAAGGGUGACUGGUACUACUUAUGUGUACAUGCAAAAGUUCUUAGGCAGGAAAGACUAAAUAUAAAGGGGCAUGCUCCUUUAUCUUUCAAUUAAUGAAAGAGAAACAAACCAACAAAUCUGUCUGCAAUUAAUUAAUGAAUCAUUUAAAAUAAUUCAGUUACAUUUUUCUGUUCUCGUCACUGUAAUUAAAAACUCUUUGUAGCAUUUUGUUUGGAGUAUAAGCAGAGGUGUUUAUUAUCAAUAAAUGGACUACGGGGUGUUAGACAAUGUGGAUGGUCACAGUAAAAAAAGGAAAGAUGCAUUGCAGUAGUAGCUCAUUGCUUCUUGGCCCAUGCCUUCACAAGAGGCCCACACCGGUUGUUUUGUGAGAAGGCAAGCUACAGCCCAGAUGCAUUUGAUGCUUCCCAUCAGUGACAUAAGGAUCUCUUGGACAUGGUAAUAUUCCACUGGAAUAGCAAAGGUACUGCUCCCUUCUUCAGAUGUCAACAACCACUAGAAGGUUCAAUGAAAACUUCUUAAUUUCCUAACUUUCAAUAAAGAUGCCGCACCAACUAAUAACGUUAACGUCAUUAGCACUAACGUUAGCUAGGUACUGGUAGCUAACGUUUACUGGCUAAAGAGACAAAAAAAGACAGAACACAAUCGAAUUACAAAAAUCACCAACUGAACGGAUAUACAGAAUUUUCAACAAGAAUUAUUAAAAAAAAACGCUAUAGAAAUAUGAUUGUAUUAAUAUACUGAGGUAAUGAUAAAACGAGCGACUUCGAGGCUAGUAUGGCUACAAUCAGGUUGACAGGACAAGAUCGGAUAGGAAGUUGAGCAGAAGUGGAGCGUUGCUACGUUGUUCAAAGAAUGAUUGCCAUUUCUUCAAACAAACUCUCUCCCACUUGAUUAGAAUUUUCCACCACAAGGUUCACCUUCCAACAGGACAUCAACCCUAAGCACACAGGCAAGACAACGAAGGAGAGGAUUCAUGACAAGUUUCUGAAUGUCCUGAGUUGCCCAGCCAGAGUCUGGACUUGAACCCAUUUGAACAUCUCUGGAGAGAACUGAAAAUAGCUGUGCAGCAACGCUCCCCAUCCAGCCUGACAGAGCUUGAGAGGAUCUGCAGAGAAGAAUGGGAGAAACUCCCCAAAUACAGGUGUGCCAAGCUUGUAGCGUCAUACCCAAGAAGACUCGAGGCUGUAAUCGCUGCCAAAGGUGCUUCAACAAAGUACUGAGUAAAGGGUUGGAAUACUUAUGUAAAUGUGAUUUAAGUUUUGUAAUUUUACUACAUUUGCAAAAAAAAAUGGAACUUGUUUUUGCUUUGUCAUUAUGGGGUAUUGUGUGUAGAUUUUUUUUCCCUCAAUUUAAUUAUUUUUAGAAUGAGGCUGUAACAUAACAAAAUGUGGAAAAAGUCAAGGGGUCUGAAUACUUUCCGAAUGCACCGUACAUGGGAUCAGGCACAGCAGCCUUCCAGUGUCAAUAAUGGUUACUUUUUCCAUGUAAGCUAUAAGUCAUGAAAAUUAAAUUAAGUCAUAGAAAAAUGUUUAUGAACCCUUAACAGUGAAUUAUCAAAGGUCUCUACAGCAUAAUGUCAUUUGUGAAUGUCGGUGAACAACUGAGCCACAUCAUCAUAUUGUAAUUACUUCGCUACUAUGGCCUAUUUAUUGCCUUACCUCCUCACGCCAUUUGCACCCACUGUAUAUAGACUUUCUUUUUUUCUAUUGUGUUAUUGACUGUACGCUUGUUUAUUCCAUGUGUAACUCUGUGUUGUUUGUGUCGCACUGCUUUGCUUUAUCUUAGCCAGGUCGCAGUUGUAAAUGAGAACUUGUUCUCAACUAGCCUACUGAUAGAGGAAUUUAAAUGUUAAGGCAGGGGCGGAAAUCCCGGGGGGGACACGACCCCCCAUCCUGGGAAAAAUAUGAUUUGUCCCCCCCAAUAUAUCACUGAAACAUAACUAUGUAAUUUAAAUAAUAUUAAUAAUACGCAAUGAAAGCAAUUGUGCUGAUUAUAGACACUUAAUAGCGUGUUUUUAAGUUUCAAAAGAUUGCGACCCCCCCACCCUUUGCCUCACAAUGGUUUGAUCCACUGCCAGUUCCUUAGUUGGCAAGGUAACAGAGGGGUCGUGUCUACUGUCUGAAAGGCACUCAAUGAACGUAACUGACUUAAGGUUAAUCCAGUCAAUCGCGCACACACACUAGCUGAAUAUGCAGAGCUAGCGCGCAAAUAUUAACUAUUAAGCUAGGUAGUACCUAUUCCAUUUAUGUGGCGUCGUCAAAGAUGGAAUCUUUGCUAUCGUCAAUUUAUUCCAAGAUCAGCAUGCAGAUGAUGUAAGUUAGUGCGUCAAAGUCCCUGUGAUAAGGUUAGCGAUAAACUGAAGUCCAAACUGAACUACACUCUCUUCUACCAAUGUCUUAAAUAUAUUUAAUGGUCUCGUUGCAAAAGCUAAAUUGUCGCAAGGGAACUUUUAUUUAUUUAUUUUAUUUCACCUUUAUUUAACCCGGGUAGCAAAGAUUAUAGCAAACACCACUGAAACUGAAUUGGUGCUCGCUAGCUUUGCAAAUUCAGCUAUUGUUGGAAGCCAGCCAAUAUGAAACAAACUAUUACAAUUACAAAAGGUUGCAGCAUAUGUUGUGUAAAUGGUGCAUACAGCUGUCAACUCUUGUCAUUUUAAUCCGUUUCACAUUUGCUAGCUACCUUUUAGAUCGAAGCCCAAAUAGAAUGAUAGAAGAUGAUAGAAGCCCAUCUCCUACUGUAAAUAACCUACAGACUGUGUGUGUGUGUAGCCAGCCAGCCAGCCAGCCAGGUAGAAAAAUGGCAGAAAAAUAAAAGACGGACAUCAGAGUAUUUUUCAAUACACCAAAGCAGAGCAGGCAACAGAUGGCACACAGAGAGCAGAGUUGGGGACAGAUAUACAGGGACAGACUGGCAGAGACAGGGAGUCUCAGGUAAGUUUGUUGAGUCUUUGUUUGGCAACAUUAUGAAAGGUUCUCAAUUUUUUUUACUUGUAAAAUAGGAACAUAAUUGGAAAAUGCCAUGGAUACUGUAAUAAAGAUAAUCUAACGUUUUACCUAAUGAUAUAUAAGGAGGGCAUUUGCACAACAUGUUUCACAACAGCACACAACAAAAUUCCAGAGACAUAUUGAGCAACCAAGUGAUACCAAUCACGACCACACCCAGAGGACAGAUGGCAGACUUAAGAACUCACACAAAAAUGUCAAGACAUGAAGGCGCCCUAGCCACACGAACUGACCACUGGUGUAAAGAACAACAUUCCAUGAAUAUCGCAAGCACCCAGACACGAAUUACCAGAAAUACACACACACACACACACACACUUAGGUGUGUUGGACUCCGAGGACAAAGGACACUGCCAAGGGCCAAUGGGAAGUUGACACCACCUGGAGAAUGGACCGUCCACCGUCCACUCAUCGACCAGUCAGGAGAGAGGACCUACUAGACUCAACGUCAACACACUGUUAUUUCAUUGUAUAAAUUGGAUGUACACUAUGUUUCGGGGCUCUCUCUUCUGCUAGUUCCCUAAGAGCUAAACGAACGAGCCUGUGCACGCUCAGCCAAAUAUCUUUGUCUCAUAAUAAACUGCCUUACUAUAUACUGAAUCCACCUGGUCCAUCGUCUUGACUUGGUUUCCUUCUCAAAUAACUAAUCAUCAACAAAAUUGGUAGCAGAGGAUGGUUUCAUACUUCUGAAAUUCGGUCCAUUUAGUGGUUGAUGUGAGAGGAGAGAAGUUUGGGACAAUUUCGCAAGGACGGGUGACCUGUUCGCAGGAGACAUCGGCGAUUCUGCCCGCCCCAGGAAACUGAUCAACGAGCUCGACUAUAUAAGGUAAGCAGAGCCUGUUAAAACAAAAUCUGCAUAUUGUAAUAUAGUUUUAUUCAAAUUCUGAUCAGUAGUACUGGGAGUGAGUAUGAAUUGUUGUCUAAAUUGUAAUAAAUGUAAUUAAAAUGUUAAGGCCGAACACAAAGAUAUUUGACUGAAUAGAUUUUAAGUUAUUUAAGAGCCUGUGUGCCGUCCUGUGUGGACCCGUCCUGUGUGGACCCGUCCUGUGUGGACCCGUCCUGUGUGGACCCGGCCUGUGUGGGCCCAUCAUUGAUAGAAUAUAUCUGUUGACUUGGGGGACGACUGACGUGGCAACCAGUUGAGUCCACCCAUAUUAUUCAGAUCAAUUAAAAGUAGAUAAAGAGUCUGUGUGACAUACUUUUGAUAGCAUAAUCAUUUGUGACAUUGGAGGACGGCUGGAGUGGCAACCUGCCGGGACCACCAAUGAAAAGUCGGAUGAAUUUAAAAAUAAAAUAAUAUUGUUAUAACUGUUUAGCUAUGUCCCGGAUGUCAGCGAACUAUUCUCUGCCCGGUAGAUUGUAUAGGUGACACAAUUUGUUAUAUUGUAUUUGUGAUAUCUGAUGGAACUUUAUCUUAAGGGUCCAAUAAUUAUUCUCUGUCUGGUAAAUGGGUGCGAAAUAAGGGUUUGUUCCAUGAGACAUAAACAACUAAGUCGAUAACCGAUUAGGACUGAAACAAUUCUGAAAUAAAGUAGAGGGGCCGCCGUGCUGUCGGGAUUGGGGUGUAUUAGACAAACCAUUUGGCAAUUAUUAACACUUUGUUUACGAGGGUGAGGCACCAGAGUUAAGUCGGUGUCCGCACCGAGAAUACAUCGCUGGUCCCAACCAGCGACGGGCUAAGUUUACAAAGCUAGAGGGACUAAAUUGUAAAACAUAAUGGCAAUAAGCCAACCAAUUAAACUUAAAUUUUGUGAAUUUUUGGAUAAAAAAAUACAGGAUAGAGCAGGAGGUAAGGAACAAUAUAAGGCAAUACGGAAAGUGUGGGAGGAAGUAAAGUUGAGAUGGACACAGGCAGGAUACUUUAGCGGGGGGGCUCCGACUAAAGGCCAAUUGAUGGAGAUGGAGGCAGGUUUAAAGGAGGGAGUUAAAAAAAGCACAGAAAAUGAAAAGGAAAGAAAUAAAACGUAUAUGUUUAAAAAAGAAGGAACCAAGAACAGAGAGAAGGCGGAGGCAGAGUUGAGAAUAGGGACCUGGGCGAUAGAGGAGACUAGAAGGGCACUCCCUUAUAAAAAACCAGACAUGAUGGGGAUUGUGACUUCUACAGAGACCGACUCAAACACAGGACCAAAACAAGAUGGAGAGACCCCCCUGCCGACGACCCGGUUAUAUCCGGAACUACCAACCGAACCACCACCCUACACUCAAGGGCCCACAGUGGGGGGGAAGUCGUUGAACCCUUUCAGAACGGGACCAUUCACCCCGCCACCUGCUGUACAGGCUCCGGUAUUCGCCGUAAAGGGUGGAGAAUUAAUGGGGUCCGUCACAAUGGGUGUAAAGGGUGGACACUUGGUCUGCGAGGAAGUUGAAGAAGAAGGAGAGGGAAGUGAAGGAACCUCCUCCCUCAUGACCAUGCCGGGAGGAAAAUACAGCUCAACCCCAAGACCGUUCACUCCUGACUUCAACCCACAACACUAUGUGAGAUGUGGGUUCACUUCCCCAAAGACUAGUUUGGUAUCCCGUAACUCGCACGACAAUCUACCAAGCGAGAAUGAAGAAGGAGGAACGAGUCACACCCCCAGAGACAUGGAGAUCGACAACCUACGAAGGGAGGUGAAUGAGUCACUAGCCCUGGCGAAAUCCCUGAUUGAAAAAUCUGAAAAGGAAGGAGGAACUUUCCAUGUGGAGGGGGUGAUGACUGGAAAGAUAACGGACCUGGUUGACCCGGUCAGAAAGUCAGUCCGUCUGGAGAACCUAAGGGCUCAGGGAGUGACUUCAAGGACAGACUGGGAUCAGAACGGGGGUUAUAGCUCCGCCAUGCAGCUACCACUCAGGCCCACAACAGACCCCCGAUUCGAAGAGUACCAGCCAUGGAAAAUGACAGAUCUCACCACCCUGAUGGAACAACUGCCUAGCCUUCAUGGAGGGGCUUCUGCGUGGCUACUCCAGCUCCAGACACUUACCUCUGGUCUGCGCCUGUGCCUGGGAGACAUGAAGGCUCUACUGGCCAGGGCAACAGACCAUGUGACCAUGUCCUCAUUGGUAAAGGAAGCAGAUCUGGACAAAGCCCCUCCCACGGCACCACUGGAGGACAUUCGUCAGGCACUAUGGGGUGUGUUGCGUCGGGCAUAUCCAACUGAGAAGAACCAUGCAACCCUGUCCUCUUUUACCAUCACUCCGGGGGAACAACCUGCGGCUUACUUGGACAGGGCAAAAACAACAUGGAGGACUGUGCAUGAGGAACCAUAUGACCACACUGAAACCACGCUCAGCAUGUGGAAAGAGAUGGUGGUGAAUGGGUGCCCUGGAGAAGUGAAAGUGAAACUCAGGAACACUGUGGGACUGAUGGCACUUCCCCUGCCACAGUUCAACUCUCACACUCACCACCACCUCACCCAAUACUACAAAGACAAGGGGGGCGCGGACACUCAAGUCCAGUCCCUUCAAGUACAACUACUGAAAUUGCAAUUGAAAGAAGCCCAGAAGGGUGAUAAAAAAAAACAGAUGAUGGAAAAACCAGAAGAUUUGUCUCAGGUCAUCGAGAAAACCGUAACACAGAUGAUGCAGCAACAGCAGACUCAGCCGACUCCCGUCGCCGAGGGGGUCCCUCAAGUGAUGCAGCCCAUGCCCCAACCCAUGCCUAUGGCAGCCCCAGGGAUCUACCCACCACCACAGCUGGGUUAUCCAACACCAUGGAUGACUCAGCCGGCCUAUCCAACACAGUGGCGAGGGGGUCAAUGGAGGGGGGGAGGUAUGCAAUGCUACAAUUGCAGACAACAUGGGCAUAUGGCUCGAAACUGCCCGCAGGCACUGACCCAAUCUACUCAACAAUGGCUGGCUAACAGAGGAAGCUCUCAGUUCAUGGGUAGGGGAAGAGGUGGGCCCCGCCCACAACGUUACCCUGGACCACAGCCUCAUCCUGCAUAUAAUCACGCCAACCCGGAUCCCGGUCAACAAUCGUCCAGCUUCCAGGGUAUGGCUGAUGAAUACGCACCAUGGCCAUGAAGAUGCCCACCACCACCUGACGGGGGAGGACGGGAGCUCUUUCCACUCCACACUGAACCCACUGUUCUGUGUGAAGUUGAGGGAGUAACCCAUCAAUUUCUAGUUGACACUGGCUGUACAUACUCCGCAAUCCGAUCCCGUCAACAACUAUCUUCGGAAUUCAUUCAGGUGGUGGGGGUGACUGGUAACCCCGAAGCUCAAAAGAAAACAGUUCCCUUAACCUUCUCGUGGGGAAGUAUGAUGCAUACUCAUCAGUUCUUGUACUGCCCUAACUGUCCAAUCAAUCUGUUGGGAAGGGACCUCUUGUGCAAACUACAAUGCUCCAUAUAUCUUACACACAAUGGGGUAGAAGUCACCACGGGCCCCGUUCCCUCCACCAUGGCCAAACCGGUUAAAGUCCUCAUGCUUCCAAUUUUACCAGCCCCUGUCCUGUCGGCUACACAAGAAAUCUAUUGGCUUAAGUGUGUCCAGACAGGAAUAGGGACCCCACGCAUCCAGUUCCAAUUUAAUCAGCUGAAACCAAGAAUCUACACGCUACAUCCAUACAAGACACCACUGGCAGAGGUACACUGUACCCUGAACGUCACAGAAAAUGACGACAACCCAUACACAGAUGACUGGGAUGAAAACAUGAUGCCCCUCACGCCUACCAUUAGGUGCUGCACCAUUGUUUGUGGACAAGAGGGGGUAGCAGCCCCAGUCAUAUUACAACCUCACCUGAAGUCCUGGUAUCUGUUGGGAGCAGAGUCCGCACCACACGUCACACUUGCUGUCGGAAACGGCUUUGAGGCCCGAAGUCUGGGUCCAAUGAUAAGACGUGCAUCCAAACUUCAGUGGGAACCUACAUCUACUCCGGGCA